rnacentral:rRNA from 1 species
GAUGAACGCUGGCGGCGUGCCUAAUACAUGCAAGUCGAGCGAACAGACGAGGAGCUUGCUCCUCUAACGUUAGCGGCGGACGGGUGAGUAACACGUGGAUAACCUACCUAUAAGACUGGGAUAACUUCGGGAAACCGGAGCUAAUACCGGAUAAUAUAUUGAACCGCAUGGUUCAAUAGUGAAAGACGGUUUUGCUGUCACUUAUAGAUGGAUCCGCGCCGCAUUAGCUAGUUGGUAAGGUAACGGCUUACCAAGGCAACGAUGCGUAGCCGACCUGAGAGGGUGAUCGGCCACACUGGAACUGAGACACGGUCCAGACUCCUACGGGAGGCAGCAGUAGGGAAUCUUCCGCAAUGGGCGAAAGCCUGACGGAGCAACGCCGCGUGAGUGAUGAAGGUCUUCGGAUCGUAAAACUCUGUUAUUAGGGAAGAACAAAUGCGUAAGUAACUAUGCACGUCUUGACGGUACCUAAUCAGAAAGCCACGGCUAACUACGUG